rnacentral:lncRNA from 1 species
CGGGUGGGACACACUCGUUCCGGCCCGGGGGGACUCGGGCCAGCAGCCGGCCGCCGCGCGUGCGCACUUGGCGCGGGGUGGGGGGGAAGGAGGGGCCCGCGCUCCUACCUGUAGGUGGCCAACGCCGGGCGCUGGGCCGCCGCUCCUGCCUUGCACGUUAGAGAGCCGGUACAUGCAGGUGGGAAGCUCCACACGGAGAGGCGCGCCGCGCCCGUGAUAAGGUUUUACCUGGUACAUCGGCAUGGCGGAACCAAAGCAAGAGAGGGUGGCGCGUGCCAAACACCAACGCUCAGAAACCGUCCGAGGCUACGACUGGGGGCGGACAUCUCCCUUGUGACCCUGCUGCGGUCGUUCGGGAAAAAAAAAAAAAGCAGUCCGGUGUGCUCUGAUUGGCCCAUGCUCUUUGACGUCACGGACUCGACCUUUGACGGAGCUAAUAGGCGAAAAGGAGAGACGGGAAGUAUUUUUUCCGCCCCGCCCAGAAAGGGUGGAGCACAACGUCAAAAGCAGCCAAUGGGAGCCCAGGAGGCGGGGCGCCUGUGGGAGUCGUGGAGGGAACUUUCCCAGGCCCCGAGGCGGAUCGGGUAUUGAGUCCAUGGAGCGAGCUGAGAGCUAGAGUACAGAACCUGCUAAGGCCAUCAAACCUAUCGAUCGGAAGUCAGUCCAUCAGAUUUGCUCUGGGCCGGUGGUACUGAGUCUAAGCACUGCGGUGAAGGAGUUAGUAGAAAACAGUCUGGAUGCUGGUGCCACCAAUAUUGAUCUAAAGCUUAAGGACUAUGGAGUGGAUCUCAUUGAAGUUUCAGACAAUGGAUGUGGGGUAGAAGAAGAAAACUUUGAAGGCUUAACGAUGUCACCAUUUCUACCUGCCACGCAUCGGCGAAGGUUGGGACUCGACUGGUGUUUGAUCACGAUGGGAAAAUCAUCCAGAAAACCCCCUACCCCCACCCCAGAGGGACCACAGUCAGCGUGAAGCAGUUAUUUUCUACACUACCUGUGCACCAUAAGGAAUUUCAAAGGAAUAUUAAGAAGGAUGGCCGUAUAAGAAAAUAAACAACUUGCUAAAACUGCUGAAACUCCCUCUGCUUGUGAGAUUUAAAAAAACUGGCUGAAAUUGGUUGGAACCAACAUGUCCAAUGGAGUCUGAAUAGAAAGAGCUUGCUGACAUCACAGCCCGAAUUUCCACCACAUUUCAUACUAACUCCCCCUGAAUUUGCAUAUGCAAACCACAAGCAAGCAUGAUCAAACAGACAACUGCGCGUGUCCGAGGACUUUCCAGAUCUCCCCUUUCCUUCCACCAAUCACUUACUAAUCUGAGAAUCCAUCCCCUAAUAAAAUCACUGCCUUAAAGCCUGCACAGGAAGACAAAUUUGAGCUGGACUCAGUGUCUCUUUAUUAGUCGACUUGCAAUAAAAAAGCUUUCUUUUCCCCCCUCAAAAACCCUAUGUCAAUUAGUAUUGGCUUCCAGAGCAUCAGGUAGUGAGCCCCUUUUGCUCAGUAACAGAGCUUAAGGUGAAUAAAAAAGGCAAAUAAUGAUAUGGUUCAAGACAUCAUUACGAAAGCAUGGCUGGAAAACUGCUAGCCUUACCAAGUGCAUAAAAAACAUGAAAAUUAUUUAUUGAUAAGCAUUAGUCAUAAAAGUGUACUCUACCUCAAUUUAAAUACUGCUUAUGUGUGGAUUACACAAACAACCAUGUAUGCAGUAGCUACUUCAAAGGACUUUCUUUUUAAUAUUUAAAAAGUUAGUUCACUGAAUCAUAGAGUUGUUAGAUAAAAUCUUGUCUUCGUGAGAAC